rnacentral:misc_RNA from 1 species
AAAAAAAAAAAAAAAUCUAUCUAACCCUUUCUGCUAUACCUCCACUAUAUUACAUGCAAUAUAUAUAGUGUAAUUGCACCAUAUAGUAUAUGUCUGCUUAGUGGAUAUAUCUAUAUAUAUAGUGUGCACUUCUUGAUUUUUCUUGUUUAGUGGUAUUUUUGUUUGGAUUGAUGCUAGCUGUGGCAAACCUGCCAAACACCACCACCACCACCACCAAAGAUGAGA